GACGAACGCUGGCGGCGUGCUUAACACAUGCAAGUCGAACGAUGAACCACUUCGGUGGGGAUUAGUGGCGAACGGGUGAGUAACACGUGGGCAAUCUGCCCUUCACUCUGGGACAAGCCCUGGAAACGGGGUCUAAUACCGGAUAGCACUCCUGCCUGCAUGGGUGGGGGUUGAAAGCUCCGGCGGUGAAGGAUGAGCCCGCGGCCUAUCAGCUUGUUGGUGAGGUAAUGGCUCACCAAGGCGACGACGGGUAGCCGGCCUGAGAGGGCGACCGGCCACACUGGGACUGAGACACGGCCCAGACUCCUACGGGAGGCAGCAGUGGGGAAUAUUGCACAAUGGGCGAAAGCCUGAUGCAGCGACGCCGCGUGAGGGAUGACGGCCUUCGGGUUGUAAACCUCUUUCAGCAGGGAAGAAGCGAAAGUGACGGUACCUGCAGAAGAA
rnacentral:rRNA from 1 species